ensembl:Mt_tRNA
AGGUAUUUAGUCCAAGACAAGACUUUUGAUUUCGGCUCAAAAAAUUGUGGUUUAAGUCCACAACUACCUU